rnacentral:rRNA from 1 species
UACGGAGGGUGCAAGCGUUAUCCGGAUUCACUGGGUUUAAAGGGUGCGUAGGCGGGCAGGUAAGUCAGUGGUGAAAUCUCCGAGCUUAACUCGGAAACUGCCGUUGAUACUAUUUGUCUUGAAUAUUGUGGAGGUAAGCGGAAUAUGUCAUGUAGCGGUGAAAUGCUUAGAUAUGACAUAGGACACCGAUUGCGAAGGCAGCUGACUACAGGAACAUUGACACUGAGGCACGAAAGCGUGGGGAUCAAACAGG